AAGUUUAUGAAUUUUAUUAUUGCUUAAUGGAUAGUUAAAGUAUGUAGCAGGUCUGUCGACUAAACUUU
rnacentral:tRNA from 1 species